UUCCGGUUGAUCCUGCCGGAGGCUACUGCUAUCGGGGUUCGAUUAAGCCAUGCAAGUUAAAUGUUCUUCGUGAACAUAGCGAACUGCUCAGUAACACGUGGAUAACCUACCCUUAGGACCGGAAUAACCCCGGGAAACUGGGGAUAAUACCGGAUAAGCCAUAGGCGCUGGAAUGCCCUAUGGUUCAAAGCUCCGGCGCCUAAGGAUGGAUCUGCGGUCUAUCAGGUUGUAGUGGGUGUAACGUACCUACUAGCCGACGACGGAUACGGGUUGUGAGAGCAAGAGCCCGGAGAUGGAUUCUGAGACACGAAUCCAGGCCCUACGGGGUGCAGCAGGCGCGAACACUUUACAAUGCGGGAAACCGCGAUAAGGGAACCCCGAGUGCCAGCAUCAAAUGUUGGCUGUCCGGAUGAUUAAAAAUCAUUUGUUAGCAAGGGCCGGGCAAGACCGGUGCCAGCCGCCGCGGUAACACCGGCGGCCCGAGUGGUAGCCGUUUUUAUUGGGUCUAAAGGGUCCGUAGCCGGCCUGAUCAGUCCUUUGGGAAAUCUGGCAGCUUAACUGUCAGGCUUCUAAGGGAUACUGUCAGGCUUGGGACCGGAAGAGGUAAGGGGUACUCCAGGGGUAGGAGUGAAAUCUUGUAAUCCCUGGGGGACCAUCUGUGGCGAAGGCGCCUUACCAGAACGGGUCCGACGGUGAGGGACGAAGGCUAGGGGAGCAAACCGGAUUAGAUACCCGGGUAGUCCUAGCUGUAAACGAUGCUCGCUAGGUGUCAGACACGGUGCGACCGUGUUUGGUGCCGCAGGGAAGCCGUUAAGCGAGCCACCUGGGAAGUACGGUCGCAAGGCUGAAACUUAAAGGAAUUGGCGGGGGAGCACUACAACGGGUGGAGCCUGCGGUUUAAUUGGAUUCAACGCCGGA
rnacentral:rRNA from 1 species